AGAGUAUGAUCCUGGCUCAGAUUGAACGCUGGCGGCAGGCCUAACACAUGCAAGUCGAGCGGAUGAGGGGAGCUUGCUCCCGGAUUUAGCGGCGGACGGGUGAGUAAUGCCUAGGAAUCUGCCUGGUAGUGGGGGACAACGACUCGAAAGGGUCGCUAAUACCGCAUACGUCCUACGGGAGAAAGUGGGGGAUCUUCGGACCUCACGCUAUCAGAUGAGCCUAGGUCGGAUUAGCUAGUAGGUGAGGUAAUGGCUCACCUAGGCAACGAUCCGUAACUGGUCUGAGAGGAUGAUCAGUCACACUGGAACUGAGACACGGUCCAGACUCCUACGGGAGGCAGCAGUGGGGAAUAUUGGACAAUGGGCGAAAGCCUGAUCCAGCCAUGCCGCGUGUGUGAAGAAGGUCUUCGGAUUGUAAAGCACUUUAAGUUGGGAGGAAGGGUUGUAGUUUAAUACGCUGCAAUCUUGACGUUACCAACAGAAUAAGCACCGGCUAACUCUGUGCCAGCAGCCGCGGUAAUACAGAGGGUGCAAGCGUUAAUCGGAAUUACUGGGCGUAAAGCGCGCGUAGGCGGCUUGAUAAGAUGGGUGUGAAAUCCC
rnacentral:rRNA from 1 species